rnacentral:rRNA from 1 species
AUGCAGGGGAGGUCGUCGUGGACGAGCGACAUGGCGUGGACCAUCUCGACGGCGCAGGCCACGGGCUCGGCGGCGGCCUCGUCGCCGCCCACCAGCUCGCACGCGGCGAGCGCGAGCAUGGGGCGCACCCGCUUGCCGCCCGCGAGGAGCGAGUAG